rnacentral:rRNA from 1 species
UACGUAGGUGGCAAGCGUUGUCCGGAAUUAUUGGGCGUAAAGCGCGCGCAGGCGGUCCUUUAAGUCUGAUGUGAAAGCCCACGGCUCAACCGUGGAGGGUCAUUGGAAACUGGGGGACUUGAGUGCAGGAGAGAAGAGUGGAAUUCCACGUGUAGCGGUGAAAUGCGUAGAGAUGUGGAGGAACACCAGUGGCGAAGGCGACUCUUUGGCCUGUAACUGACGCUGAGGCGCGAAAGCUAGGGGAGCGAAUGGG